GGUGGAAGCGCGGCGACGCGUGGAGCUGACGGAUACUAAUCGAUCGAGGACUUAACCAC
rnacentral:rRNA from 1 species